rnacentral:lncRNA from 1 species
UUUUUUAAUUUUCAAAGAUCAGCUGUUUUGCAUGUAAGCCUAUGGAGCAGUCAAUUACAAGACUGCAACCUGCAUAGGGUAAUUUUUUCAUAUGUUCACUGCAAGAAAGUAGCUCAUGUGGACUUUUGUGUGCCCAGAAUGAUAAAACAUCAUGAUUUAAGAACUUUUUAAGAGAAAAAAAUCAUGGGGUAUCAAGUUACACUGAAAAAACUGAAAUUAUGUAAUAAUUAUGCAUUUUUAUACUAGACACCAUUCAAAAGUAUUAAUAGAUAUAAAGCACAACAGUUUGAGGC